UACGUAGGGACCAAGCGUUGUUCGGAUUUACUGGGCGUAAAGGGCGCGUAGGCGGCGUGACAAGUCACUUGUGAAAUCUCCGGGCUUAACUCGGAACGGUCAAGUGAUACUGUCGUGCUAGAGUGCAGAAGGGGCAAUCGGAAUUCUUGGUGUAGCGGUGAAAUGCGUAGAUAUCAAGAGGAACACCUGAAGUGAAGACGGGUUGCUGGGCUGACACUGACGCUGAGGCGCGAAAGCUAGGGGAGCAAACGGG
rnacentral:rRNA from 1 species